GCUGAAAGCGUGGUAGCGAACAGGAUUAGAUACCCUGGUAGUCCACGCCGUAAACGAUGAGUGCUAGGUUUAGGCCCUUUCCGGGGCUUAGUGCCGGAGCUAACGCAAUAAGCACUCCGCCUGGGGAGUACGACCGCAAGGUUGAAACUCAAAGGAAUUGACGGGGGCCCGCACAAGCGGUGGAGCAUGUGGUUUAAUUCGAAGCAACGCGAAGAACCUUACCAGGUCUUGACAUCCCGAUGCUAUUCUUAGAGAUAGGAAGUUACUUCGGUACAUCGGAGACAGGUGGUGCAUGGUUGUCGUCAGCUCGUGUCGUGAGAUGUUGGGUUAAGUCCCGCAACGAGCGCAACCCUUAUUGUUAGUUGCCAUCAUUAAGUUGGGCACUCUAGCGAGACUGCCGGUAAUAAACCGGAGGAAGGUGGGGAUGACGUCAAAUCAUCAUGCCCCUUAUGACCUGGGCUACACACGUGCUACAAUGGUCGGUACAACGAGUUGCGAGCCGGUGACGGCAAGCUAAUCUCUGAAAGCCGAUCUCAGUUCGGAUUGGAGGCUGCAACUCGCCUCCAUGAAGUCGGAAUCGCUAGUAAUCGCGAAUCAGCACGCCG
rnacentral:rRNA from 1 species